GCCGCCUCCUCUGCCCGCCGCGCGGACCGAGGGAGCGCGGUCGCUGCCGCCUGCCUGCCCGGGUGCCCGCGUGCCCGGGCAGCGGUGGGCCAGGAUGUCGGGUUUCCUGGAGGAGCUGCUGGGCGAGAAGCUGGUGACGGGCGGCGGUGAGGAGGUGGACGUGCACUCGCUGGCUGCCCGCGGCAUUUCGCUGCUCGGGCUCUACUUCGGCUGUAGCCUGAGCGCCCCCUGCGCGCAGCUCAGCGUCAGCCUGGCCGCCUUCUACGGCCGCCUGCGGGGGGACGCGGCGGCCGGGCCAGGGGCUGGGGCCGGCCCGGGGCCGGGGGCCGGGGCGGCAGCGGAACCCGAGUCGCGGCGCCGCCUGGAGAUCGUCUUCGUGUCCUCGGACCAGGACCAGCGGCAGUGGCAGGACUUCGUACGGGACAUGCCGUGGUUGGCGCUGCCCUACAAGGAGAAGCACAGGAAGGGGGCCCGGGUUCAAUCCCUGGUCAGGGAACUAGAUCCCACAUGCAUGCUGCAACUAAGGAGCCGUUGAGCUGCAAUUAAGGAGCCCGUCUGCCACAACUAAGACAUGGUGCAACCAAAUAAGUAAAUAAAUAUUUUAAAAAAGGUCUAAAAUGAGAGGCAGAGUGGAGGGUGAGGGACAAAGCUAGAUGGUUAAGUGGGGCAGAAAAUGAAGGGUCAUCAGGGCGUGGACUGUGUUCUGAUGGGGACCACUGAUGGGUUCUAAGCAGGGACAUUUCAUAAUCAGAUUAGAUAUAUAACCACGGUAGCUGUGUAGACAGUAGACUUGAGGGACAGAAACGAGAGCCAUGCUGUCCGGUAUGGUAGCUACUAGCCAUGUGUGGCUGUUAGCACUUUGAAUGUGGGUGGGCUAGUUGAGAUGGGCUGUGUUAAAUAUACACUGGAUAUAAAAAAUAUGGUACCAGAAAAGAAGAAUGUAAAAUAAUAAUUUUUUAUGCCAAUGACGUGUUGAAAUGAUCAUCUUUUGGAUAUAUUGGGUUAAAUAAAUUAUACAAUUAAAACUAAUUUCAGGGACUUCCCUGGUGGCGCAGUCGUUAAGAAUCAGCCUGCCAAUGCAGGGGACAUGGGUUCGAGCCCUGGUCCGGGAAGAUCCCACGUGCCGUGCGCCACAACUACUGAGCCUGCUCUCUAGAGCCCGCGAGCCACAACUACUGAGGCUGCAUGCCACAAAUACUGAAGCCCGCGUGCCUAGAGCCCGUGCUCUGCAACAAGAGGAGCCACCGCAAUGAGAAGCCCAUGCACCACAAUGAAGAGUAGCCCCCACUCGCCGCAACUAGGGAAAGCCCACGUGCAGUAAUGAAGACCCAACGCAGCCAAAAAUAAAAUAAUUAAUUAGUUUAAAAAAAAAAAACUAAUUUCACUUGGUUCUUUUUUUUUGGCCACGCCACGCAGCUUGCGGGAUCUUAGUUCCCCAACCAGGGCGUGAACCCAGGCCCUUGGCAGUGAAAGCGCUGAGUCCUAACCACUGGACUGCCAGGGAAUUCCCUAAUUUCACUUGUUUUUUUUUUCUACUUUUUAACGUGGCUACUAAAAUUUUUAAAAUUUUGUUUAUUUGUAUUGGACAGCACUGGACUGGAGGGGGAAAGAUGAUGAGGGCCUAGCCUUGGGGUCAUGGUGAUGGACAUGGGAAGGAGGGAGUGGGUUUGAGAAGCAUUAGGAAAUAUAAUCAAUGGUUGUGUCUUGCCUUUGGAGGAUGCUAUGGACUGAGUAUGUCUCUCCCAGUUUUGUGUGUUGAAGCCCUAACCCCCAAAGUGAUGGUAUUUGGAGGUGGGACCUUUGAGAGGUAAUUAGGUUUAGAUGGGGUCAUGAGGAUAGAGCCCCCAUAAUGGAAUUAGUGCCCUGAUAAGAGGAGGGGUUCAGAGCUCACUUCCUAACCCCCCAAUGUGAGGACACAGCAAGAAGGCAGCUGUCUGCAAACCAGAAAGAGAGCCCUCAUCAGACAUUGAAUCUGCCAGCCCCUUGAUUUUGGACUUCUAGCCUCCCAAACUGUGAGAAAUGAAUGUCUGUUAUCUAAGCUGCCCAGUCUCUGGGUUUUGUUACAGCAGCCUGAGCUAAGACAGGGAGUGAGACAGGAAGGAGUUAAUGUCACCAGCUGAGGUAGGGAAAGUGGAGGCUGGGCGAGUAAAAGCAGUAGAGAUGUUCAGCUGUCUGACUGCUUGAUUCCAGCUCUGUGGAGAGGUAGGUCUCUGCCUGGGAAAGAUCUGAGAGUCAGCAACAAAUAGAGAGCUGUGAGAAGAAUUGAGAGUCCCAGAGAGCGUGUGGGGAGAGAAGGAGGUGGCCUGAGAGGAGGUGCUGGGGAGACACAGCUGAGACCUGGGGACAGGACAACAAAGGAACAGAUAGAGGGACACAAAUCGGGGUUGCGGUCACAGAGGCCAAAGGAAGGUGUAUCAGAGAGAGCGUGAGCAACGGUGGGAACAUGAAAUGUCAGAAAAGUUUGAAAAGUACCGCUUGGAUUUAUCAAUUUAGGAAGGGUACCGUAAGUCUUCAUUAAGCCAUUUCUAUUCUUUAUUAUGGUUAGUGACAAUACUUUACAUUUGACAGCAUUUACUUUGUGCCAGGCACAGCACACAGCACUGCAAGCUUCAUACCACAGCCCCGUGGGGCACCUAAGUUAUUAUCUCCAUUGUACAGAUGGAGAUACUGAGGCACAGAGGCAUAUAUGGUCAACGGUGCCUGCAGGGCUCCAGCCUUGAUCUCACUCUUCCCCCACAAUAUCACCCAAACUGUUUUGCAACUCCCAGACUUGCCCUGCCCAAGAAGUGGGUAACCGUGCCUUCUGCCUCAGUCAUGAGUCUCUUAGGCCACACAUAAGCUUUCCCCUUCCUUUGGUGCUGGCCUUGUGGGGACGAUGGCCGUGGUCGGCGAGUGGGGGAGAAUUCUGCAUUCCAGUGUGCUGAGGUCAGCACAUGUGGGCUCCCAGUGGCACUGAUUUCCAGGGCUCGGGCUUUGCUCCCGGGACAGCCUGGGCCCUUCUGUCCAUGCUCUCUGAGCAGACGAUCCUCCACUUAAUGGGUGCCCCGUUGCUUUCCUGCUUCCCAUCAUUUCUGCGCCAUGGCUGUUCCACUAAAGAAUCCACUGAAGAAUCCACGGGACCCCAGGCCCCGGGCAGAGUCCAUCCCUCUGGGCCAGGAUUUGCUUCACGGGGGCCCGGGUUCAAUCCCUGGUCAGGGAACUAGAUCCCACAUGCAUACCGCAACUAAGAGUUCACAUGCCACAACUAAGGAGCCCGCGUGCCGCAACUAAGGAACCCUGGAGCUGCAACUAAGGAGCCCGCCUGCCACAACAAAGACCUGGCACAACCAAAUAAAUAAAUAAAUAAAAUAAUAUUUAAAAAAAUAAAGAAAAAUAUAUGAUUUAAUGACAAGGUGUUACUUAUGUUCAACAACUGAAGGCUGGGAGAAGUGACGUGGUCAAAGUGUAUAAGUUGUAGAGAGUAGACCACCUGGGGGUGAGAGCAUGGGACCUCUGUGACUUUUCUCUGGAGGUCCGUGCACUGGAACAAUUAAUAUGAAGCGUUGCUCACAGGGUAACCUUGUGCAGGACAAGUACCUCCGCUGAGAGAUUUAAAAUUCACAAACAUUUGAGUUGAGAGAGAAUUAUGAUGCCUGGGAAGGAGCUAACCCUAAUAUUUACCUUUAGCAAUUGACAGCUUAUUUAAAACCAGUGAAGUAUGUUGGCACAGGGAAGGGAGGAUGCAAUCUAGUGCCUGCCUACCCCAUAGUAAAUUCAAGGAGGCAAACACAUGUAGUGAAUUUAUGGCUGUGCAGUGGAAUCCUGUUUUUAAGUGUUCUGGAAAGCUCACUGGGUUUUUGUUGUAAAAUAAGGCAGGUGGUGAGGUGCCAAUCCUGAGUACUUGUGGGGAGACUUGUCCAGGUGAUAGCUUCAUGAGGGGAGCUGCCUUUGACCUCAGAGAAAUUGAUUUUUGGUAGCCGUAUUGUUGCAUUUUAAAGUUGCUCAAGGCUUCUUUUUCUUCUUUUACCAAAACAUCUAUUGGGAUUUUUUUCUCUUUGAGAAGUAAUACAGGAUCACUGUAGAAAAUUGGAAAAUACAGAAAAGUGUAUAGAGGGAAAAAUCACCUAUAGGCCUCCUACCGGAAGUAACUGAUAUUCCUAUGUCACAGGUUAGCCUUAUCUUUUUCUAUGUGUGCAUAUUUCCAUGUAAGAAUAAAUUCUUUUUUUAAAAAAAUUUAUUUGUUGACUGAUUUAUUUUUGGUCGUGUUGGGUCUUCAUUGCUACGCGUGGGCGAGCAGGGGCCACUCUUCGUUGCGGUGCGUGGGCUUCUUAUUGCGGUGGCUUCUCUGUCGCCAAGCACGGGCUCUAGGCGCAUGGGCUUCAGUAGUUGUGGCACACGGGCUCAGUAGUUGUGGGUCGCGGGCUCUAGAGCGCAGGCUCAGUAGUUGUGGCUCGUGGGCUUAGUUGCUCUGCGGCAUGUGGGAUCUUCCUGGACCAGGGCUCGAACCCGUGUCCCUUGCAUUGGCAGGCAGAAUCUUAACCACUGCACCACCAGGGAAGUCCAGAAUAAAUUCUUCAAAAAGGGGA